ensembl:lncRNA
AUGAUUUCAAACAUGUUAAAAGUAAUUAAUUUUACUCGACAAAAUAUUAUCUGGGUGUUUUUCAAAAACCGCGCGCAUUUUUCAGUCAGUCGCGUCCACACUCUGCUCAUCCCCCGCGGGACCGCGCUCACUCGCUCACUCACACUGAUCACAGCAGGACUACAGGCGACGCGGUCACGGAAAAUAACAGCCGGACACAGACAAACGAGUCCCGCAAAGUGUAUUUUUAAACUAAGGUUAGAGAGACGGCUGACAGUAUCUUCGUCAUCUCUAACCGUCACUCCCGCCACAGAUCUGAAGCGAGGAACAAUAUCAGUCAUUCAAGCUAUGAUCCUGGCAGAUCUACUAUCUGAAAAAAGACUCAGCAGAUUUUUUUCAAGACACACAAGGUAGGACACAGUUCAGAACUUUAUAUUUACUUGGCAACAUUUUUCUGAGAUCAGCAGAAAUUACUGAAUAGUUGAUCUAGGGAUGUUCAUUUUAACCGGUUAACCAUUAACCGACCGUUAAGAAUUUUGACAGAUUAAAACAAUCAGUUAAACGGUUUAAAAAGUCAUUUAUUUAUUUUCAGUAAUUUAUCAAAAUAUUUAAAAAGGUUUGCUGCAUGGUUAAAAUAUGCUACGCGUAUACAUGUUUUUAGUUUUUUAGAGAAAAAAAAACACAAGUCCCAUUUUAUUAUUUAAUUCAGAAAUAGGUCUGAUGCCGACACGAAAUGUUUAAAAUCAUUAUAAUAAACUGUAAACAUAGCUAGGCUAUUUUAGUUCC